CAGAUUGAGGCUGAAAUUCGCCACUGCGUCGAGACCGGACAGCUCAUGCCCACCCUUCUGCAUCGGCGUCGGAUUCGGCGCCGCAGGAACCGGGUUGCAAGGAUCUCCAGAUGCCCGCGGGAGCAACCGAGGGACCUGACUGAGAGCGAAAACGGUGACCAAAACAGCAGCCGUCCAGCGCCUCUCCGCUGGCCCAACUGGCCUGUGACGCCACACGCAGUCAGCGUUCGCCGAGGCACGCGGGCGCAGCUGCCGACUCCGGAAGCGUUCGACGACACGCGGCUGCGGCAGGCGUACAGUACCGUCGUCUGGCGGCAGAGGGCCGAGAGGUUUCACGUCGAUCUGGAUGUGGAAGAUCCUGGCGUACAAGAUGCCAUGCUGCGCAUGC